AUGGACCUCCUCCAAAACGCGGAGGUGGACCUCGGAGCUCCGCCUCUAGACCCCUUUAGGGUUGGCGACGACUUGGAGGAAAAGGAGGAAGAUGAGGAGGACGAAGAGGAUGACGAGGAGGAGGUGGCUGAGAUAGGGGUGGAGGCAUUCACCGCCGCUUCCCGCCCACACGCUCGGUCGACAAGCUACACCGAGGCGGAAGAUGUCCUCUUGGUUCGUGCUUGGGCAGCUGUGGGAAUGGAUGCUACCACCGGCACCGAUCAAACCGGUAAACUGUAUUGGCAAAGGAUCGAGGACGUCUAUUGUAGGAUCAAGCCGAAGAAUAGUGGGUUCAUCCAUCGCACUUUUCGGUCGCUUCAAGGCCAGUGGGAGUUGAUCAAGCCCGCUUGUUCUCGUUGCAGUGCGGCCAUGGACCAAGUGAGGGAUGCACCACCUAGUGGAACCGUGGAGAGUGACUAUGAGACAAUUGCCGGCUUGAGGCACAAGGAGAUGGCCGCUUCCAAGGGCAAGCCAUUCCAAUUUAAGCAUGUUUGGUCAAUUCUUCAAACCUUUGACAAGUGGAAGUUGAGGGAUCAAGAGACCGCGCCCAGGAAGUCGGCAAUGCUAAGGAUGGACGAUAGUGAAGAUGAGGAGGAGAGGAACGUGGGCAAGCCCGAGGGAAACAAGAAGGGCAAGUUAAGGGUGAAGAUGGAAGAAGAGGCGUCAAGCCUAAGGGAGAAGAUGGACCACAUGAUGAAGUCAAGAGAGGAACUGACAACGAAGACAUUGGAGAUGAAGCUUCUUAUCACCGAGAAGAAGAAAGAGGUCAAGCUUGCACAAGUUGAAGCAAAACGUGAAGAAGCAAAGCGCAAGGCCGAGUUGGAGGAGAGGAUGAUCAAGCUCAAAGAGGCAACGGUAUGGAAAGAACUCAUGGUGGAAGAGAAAGAGCACAUGAUGAUGUCCAAGAAGGACAUGGAUCAAGACCAAUUGCAAUGGUGGAAGGACUACAAGGAGGACAUCGCGGAGAGGAACAUGAUGUUCCGUGUUGCGUCCUCUACUUUUCGAGGUGACACUCCGAUGAGUAGUUGUGGUGAUGGCGGUGUGUACGACUCCACCGGUGCCGAUGGAGAUGCUUGA
rnacentral:rRNA from 1 species